rnacentral:rRNA from 1 species
UCGAGCGAUGAAAUUUCGACAGAACCCUUCGGGGUGAAGAUGAAAUGGAUUAGCGGCGGACGGGUGAGUAACACGUGAGUAACCUGCCUUUGACAUAGGGAUAGCCUCGGGAAACUGGGAUUAAUACCAAAUGAAACUACACUACCGCAUGGUAGAAUAGUCAAAGAGAUUCGGUCAAAGAUGGACUCGCGGCUGAUUAGCUAGUUGGUGAGGUAACGGCCCACCAAGGCGACGAUCAGUAGCCGGCCUGAGAGGGUGAACGGCCACAUUGGAACUGAGACACGGUCCAAACUCCUACGGGAGGCAGCAGUGGGGAAUAUUGCACAAUGGGGGAAACCCUGAUGCAGCGACGCCGCGUGAGCGAAGAAGGCCUUCGGGUCGUAAAGCUCUUUUAUGAGGGAAGAUAAUGACGGUACCUCAAGAAAAAGCCCCGGCUAACUACGUGCCAGCAGCCGCGGUAAUACGUAGGGGGCUAGCGUUGUCCGGAAUCACUGGGCGUAAAGGGUUCGCAGGCGGAAUAACAAGUCAGAUGUGAAAGGCAUGGGCUCAACCCAUGUAAGCAUUUGAAACUGUAAUUCUUGAGAAGUGGAGAGGUAAGUGGAAUUCCUAGUGUAGCGGUGAAAUGCGUAGAUAUUAGGAGGAAUACCUGUGGCGAAGGCGACUUACUGGACACAAAUCUGACGCUGAGGAACGAAAGCGUGGGUAGCAAACAGGAUUAGAUACCCUGGUAGUCCACGCCGUANACGAUGAGUGCUAGGUGUCGGGGGAGANCUCGGUGCCGGCGUUAACACAAUAAGC